UCGAAGGCUGCCCAUAGAAUAGGGCUGCCGAGCUGAGUGAUCAGAGCCGUUGCCGUAACCAUGGCUACCAAAGUUGGUUCUUUAUUCUAUGAUUGCUACUCGUUGAAGUUUGCCGGUUUGCCUGUCGUUGCUUGCACUGUGCUUCAGCUCAGCUCGAGGAGAAUUCAAGGAGAAACUCGACUGCAGGAAACGAGAUCGGUCACCAGCGGUCGAGCCUUGUGUCGCAAAUUGAUCGUGUCGCCGGUGCCGCCGCUCCCGACAACGGCCAGGCAAGUCCUCCUAACGUGUGCUGCCGUGCAGUGGUGUAGAUGUGAAACACCACCAAUAGUGAGACGCGUUGCGCUCCAGUGGCCCCCGCGUCGUCGGAGCACCUGUUCUUGCACCGUGGCCGCGACCACUCCUGUCUGAGGGGCCACGUCGCUGUGCCGCAGGGAGGUCAUCUGUACAGUUCGACAUGCAAAUGUUGGCAUUUGCCAGCAAGACCGCUGUGAGCCGGUGGUCCACGAGCUGCAAACGGCGUGCGGACACUCCAUGCACCAUACGUAUGGCAUUUUAGCUUGGAUGCUUCAAGCGGAAUUCCAGGCCCCAAAAGCAAAACUUCGAAGUUUGAAGAGGAUGUGAAAGAAGAACGACUAUAUUAUAGGGGCGUCUACAUCAAGUGUUUGGCGUGUUGCACCAGGGACCCGACCGCAUGGGUGUUAAUUGGACCCUCCUGUGCCCGGAAAAAGGGAUUUUGGCGGUUGAGCUUUCGCAUAGUGCUCUAAAGGCAUACUAACAUAAUAUGUUUGGAUCUUCAUUUCUUGCAAAAAAAUGAAGGUUUGCGACCUCUAAACUGUGUAAAAAAAUGAUCGAGUAUUGGAGCAGCCUAAAUAAUUUCAAACUGCAUUUCUAGAGCCAGAGGUGGUGUUUCUACUGUCGUGGCACUAUGCAUGACGCACAAGCAAUUAUGUGGGAGCUGAACAUUGCGAUAAUUUGACACUCCCAUUUGGUUGUCUGCUGUGCUGCUACAUCGGACCUCCCGAGUAGUAGCAUGGAGACGACCGAGCAAGCCGGAUAUAAAGUGUCAAAAGACUGCAAUAACCUGCUACCACAUUGACCCCCUUUCAUGUCCUGAUGUCGCGACACAGUAACUUCUUUCUAAACAAAAUGAAAAUUGGCUGUAGAAAAAUAAUUAUAAGAAAUAAUGUAGGAUGUUCUGAGGCUAAUUAUUACUUUUUCUAGAGUUUAAAGGUCUUAAGAUUUUCAUCUAACAAAAAAUUAAUAUUCAAUAUGACUGAGUUUGUGACACCUCACUUUGGCCCCUGCUUCACCUAUAUGGUGCCCCCUGGAGUAACCCGAUCUGGGAAAUGAUGUCCUUGAAGUAAUUGACACAUACCCACUCAGGCGGAUUGGCCAAGAGUCGGGCAGAUUUUAGGUAUUUGUUAAAUAAAAAUGAAAAUAAUUUUGAUAAAUAAAUUAAAGCUAGUAAAAUACAAGCCGAUUCAGUAAACAGUCAAUGUAGUAAAACAGAAAAGGAAAGAAAAUAUCCAUAUAUAUUUAUAAACGAGUCAAUGAAGAAUAAUACAAUUAAAAAUGAAAUUGGUUAGAUUCAACAGAACUUAAUCUGUGAUGAUGCAUAGAUAGAUCCCUGUAGGUGAGUGUCCAAGAACAGAAGCUCUGAAAGACAGCAGCACUGGCGAGUUCAGUGGUAGACCGAGCUGUUGCAUUCUAAUUUGCUUUGACCUCGGGGAGAAACGCUGGCAUUCCAGUAAUGUUUCUAAUGUGUUGCAGACAUUGCACAAAGGGCGAAUUGCCAGACCAUAUCAGUGCAUGUAUAAAUUGAGAGUUGGGACUCAACAUUGCACUCUUGUGACUGACUUCUGUCUUGUUUUUCAAAAUGUCCUGUUGCAAGAAAAUUGUAAGCACUGGAGUUCCGUGGGGGUCGUUAGAUUUAAUUGUGACGUCAAAAGGGUGUAUCUUCGAAACCUGACAAGUGAUGGAAACCUGUUGUUGAAAGGAGAGUAAACACUAGGCCAGCAAGAGUAGCCUUGGCCAAACUGUCUCCCACUUUAUUCAAUGAUAUACCUCUGUGUCCAGGUGGCCAUACUGAUUGUAAACUGCAAAUGACUUGGGGUCAGUGAGUCUUAAGGUAUUAAUAUAGGCUACUACUCUAGGAGCAGUAAAAGUGAAGUGCACGACGAUAGUCUGCAAUUAUUAGCACAGUUGCUGGGAAGGGUGUAGCCUGCACAAUGUUAGAACAGCUAGGAAUUCCGUCAGAAGUAUUGAAGUCUGGGAGCUUAACAAAAAAGGGAAUGUGUAGUUGCCUUGUCCCCAUCUUACUCCAACUUUCACUUUACACUUCCUCCUAUUAUGCUCUAUUCCAAUUUUCCUGGUGGCUAGGGCUAACCUAUGGGUCACCAACGUUGGGUAUACUAUAUUCAGUUAUAGUGGCAGCGUGCGACUGACAUAGGCUGGUCUUUUUUUUUUGCAAGACUUGCUCUGUCCCAGUGUUCACGCUGCUGCGAAACAAUCAUGCUAUGGGUUCUCAUGUCCCCCUUUAUUGGCCUUUGAAAAAGACGUUGCACCAAUGCUACCUCCCAGUUCUACUUUCAAAGCAACAUAAAACCAUUUCAAAGAUAUGUCGUGCACAGUGAUGAUAGUACGCCACUGAGAAAGCUCUUUUGGUAGUGAAAUGCCUCACUAAUGCUAUAGGACAAGGAUGCAAAGCCUUGGUGAUGUUGAGCACCUCCUCACUGAACUCCGGAAGAUAAAAGACCAAGUCAAGCAGCUGUCUAACCUUACGAGUAUUAUGAUGUCACAAUUUCAGCACAUUGCUGAACCACAAAUAGGGGCAUAUCUGAAGAGGACUUCCUACAAUCGAGUGAUGAACUCAAAGGGGUUCCAGCAGCAAAAUGUCAAGGUCCAAAGUAUCAAAAUUUGCUGAAAUUACAAUAUAAAUUCUCACUAAGCAUGCAAUACUUACCUUUGGCACUAAACGAGAAGGAAGGGGGUUAACCGAGGUGCCUAAUUCUUAUUAUCCCCUUUAUCGUUUAUUUCAUUUAUUAAGCACACGUAAUUUCCUCUAUUUUGUCCUCAGUGUCAGUGUUUGUUGGCUUCUCAUAUUACCGUUGUCACUAAUUGCAUUUUCUGCAAAAGCAAAAGACUCGUGGCAUCCUUUCAAUAUACCAUAAGACUGCCUAACAAAGGUGAAACCUGAAGCAAAGAGCUAUUUGCACAAAUCUGAACAUUGCACAACUCGGUAGAUCCCUUGAAAAGCAACCUCAACCUGUACAUGUUCAUAUUGGUGAGUACACAAAGCAAAAGAAUGCCAGCUACGCUAGUUUUUUCGUGACAUGAUGAACUUGUAAAUGGCAAUAGUGCAAGGGACAGACGAACAGAAGUAAAAAAAUGGACGAAGUGCCGAUUACGUCUUAUUGCGCACACUAUAGAUAUAUGUGCAAUAGAUAAAAUAAGAGGAGCAGACAACAAAGUACAAGGCAUGGUAUCUAAAAUGAACAUCACAAUAAUCGUAGAAUGGAUGCCGUCACCCACGGAAAGAAAUGCAGUUUCCUUGGAGAGUAACUACCGACAGUGCACUCACAUGUCACCUUUUCCAUGGAUGCAGAAAGCCUCAUAUAUCUAGCAUGCUGGUUUCAUGUGGAUGAUGGUGCCCAUUCUGUGAUUUUUAUUUUAGAUAUCGUGCUUUGUUUCUUGCCAUAAUUGUUUAAUUUGUUCACUGCUCCUCCCUUCCAUUUCUAUUUCAUACAAAUGUAUACUAUCACUGUGCGCAGUAAAAAUUGGCUGAUAGUGC